rnacentral:ncRNA from 2 species
AAGGAGUGUGUAACAACUCA